rnacentral:lncRNA from 1 species
CCGGCUGGACGUCGGCCCCAUCUUCCGAGGCCUGCUGCACGUGCAGCACAUGGAUGGGAACAUGACAAUUAGCAUCAGGAACAAGAAAGAGGGCAACGGGUAACGAAUACACAACGAAACACACAAACGUGGCACAGAUGUGGCCCACCACUACCUGCCUACAUCAAACAAAUCUGCCGUACUCCGAUAGCCAUAUCGUAGUACGACAGCGUCUUGAUGCCCCACGUAAAACACAUAAGAGCCCCGACCCUCGCCCCCAUCUUACCUCCAUUCCCGGUUGGACGUUGGCCCCAUCUUCCGAGGCCUGCUGCACGUGCAGCACAUGGAUGGGAACAUGACAAUUAGGGCAGGCACGUCAAUGGCGGAGGCGAAACAUACACGCCCCCCUCCCCCAACCAGCCCCAGCCACCCUCCAUAGCAUCAGGAACAAGAAAGAGGGCAACAGGUAACGAUUCCACAACGAAACACACAACCGUGGCACAGAUGUGGCCCACCACUACCUGCCUACAUCAAACAAAUCUGCCGUACUCCGAUAGCCAUAUCAGAGUACGACAGCGUUUUGAUGCCCCACGUAAAACACAUAAGAGCCCCGACCCUCGCCCCCAUCUUACCUCCAUUCCCGGCUGGACGUCGGCCCCAUCUUCCGAGGCCUGCUGCACGUGCAGCACAUGGAUGGGAACAUGACAAUUAGCAUCAGGAACAAGAAAGAGGGCAACGGGUAACGAAUACACAACGAAACACACAAACGUGGCACAGAUGUGGCCCACCACUACCUGCCUACAUCAAACAAAUCUGCCGUACUCCGAUAGCCAUAUCGUAGUACGACAGCGUCUUGAUGCCCCACGUAAAACACAUAAGAGCCCCGACCCUCGCCCCCAUCUUACCUCCAUUCCCGGUUGGACGUUGGCCCCAUCUUCCGAGGCCUGCUGCACGUGCAGCACAUGGAUGGGAACAUGACAAUUAGGGCAGGCACGUCAAUGGCGGAGGCGAAACAUACACGCCCCCCUCCCCCAACCAGCCCCAGCCACCCUCCAUAGCAUCAGGAACAAGAAAGAGGGCAACGGGUAACGAUUCUACAACGAAACACACAACCGUGGCACAGAUGUGGCCCACCACUAUCUGCCUACAUCAAACAAAUCUGCCGUACUCCGAUAGCCAUAUCGGAGUACGACAGCAUUUUGAUGGCCCAUGAAAAACACAUAAGAGCCCCGACCCCCGCCCCCAUCUUACCUCCAUUCCCGGCUGGACGUCGGCCCCAUCUUCCGAGGCCUGCUGCACGUGCAGCACAUGGAUGGGAACAUGACAAUUAGGGCAGGCACGUCAAUGGCGGAGGCGAAACAUACACGCCCCCCUCCCCCAACCAGCCCCAGCCACCCUCCAUAGCAUCAGGAACAAGAAAGAGGGCAACGGGUAACGAUUCCACAACGAAACACACAACCGUGGCGCAGAUGUGGCCCACCACUACCUGCCUACAUUGGGACAUUGGACAUUGAAGCCAUAAUAGCCAAAGCACAUUGGGAAGCAUGAAUAUAGCCGGUGAACUUAUCAUAAGUGAAAUUUAGGUUACUUAGGGUGUUUGCCACUUGUUUUGGUGCUCCGAUGUAACAUGACCAUUGGUAGUCAUGGUCAUGGCCCAAAGGAACGCCGAUUGUUCCAGCACAAAGUAGAAUAUAGUUGAUGAACAAAUAAGUACAUAGGCAAGGUUACCCGAGGACAACGUCGAUCGACCUGGUCGACCAGGUCCGCCAAUGUAGUGGGUCCAUGCCACAAUAUCCGAAAGUCAGCUGAAAUCAUUUAAAACCUUGUCAGGUUUACUGAACAAAAUUACGACCGACGAGGUUUCCAUGCAAUUGGCUGACAUAACCCACGUCAAAAGUAACCUCAUCCAGACAACCGUCCCGUAGCUGCUGAGCCUUGGGCGCUACACGUCUCUGGACUGCCAAAUGGCCGUAGGUAGAGAGCAAAUCGUAAGGACAAAUAAUGCCUCCCUACACUCAUAUUUGAUGGCAAACAUGUUAACUAACCUCGUCAUAACAUUUCACACACUCAGCGCGCAUAUCUGUGCCUAAUUAUGACACUUUCAAGGUUGCACAUUUAUCAAGCUUCUAGCUGGCGAGUAACCUGUCCAGACAACUGCCCCGUAGCUACCGAGCCUGACGAGUUACACGUCUCCAGACUGCCAUAGGGAGGGCAGUUGCCGUCUCCGCCUCGUCCGUAAAGUUUCUUUAGUUUAGCAUUAAAUAGCAGCCUGUAUCGAGCUUUCAGUACUUGCAGUUUGAGCCAGUGUGGCAUCUUUGUGUUACUAAGGAAGGAAUUGCUAGAUUCGGGGUCUAACUUCGAGGCAGUGUUACGCCAUUUUUCAGUUAGUAUUGUGUCGUUGGUAUAGCCUGCGAAGGUACCUUGCUGGAGACGCUUAUAAAGGCCUUUGUUCAGGUCACUAAUGUAAAGACCAGUGUCGCGUUGUUUCAGCCAGAACACUUUAUCGAACGGGGCAUUGUCGGCCUUUUCAGUAAAUGUUGCUGGGUUCUCACCUCGUGCGACAGAUGUUGC